rnacentral:rRNA from 1 species
GACGAACGCUGGCGGCGCGCCUAACACAUGCAAGUCGAGCGAUGAAAUUUUAACCGAUCUCUUCGGAGAGAAGAUAAAAUGGAUUAGCGGCGGACGGGUGAGUAACACGUGAGAAACCUGCCUUUCACAAGGGGAUAGCCUCGGGAAACCGGGAUUAAUACCCUAUGACACAUUUCCUUCGCAUGGAAGAAAUGAUAAAACUCCGGUGGUGAAAGAUGGUCUCGCGCCUGAUUAGCUAGUUGGUGGGGUAACGGCCCACCAAGGCCAUGAUCAGUAACCGGCCUGAGAGGGUGAACGGUCACAUUGGAACUGAGACACGGUCCAAACUCCUACGGGAGGCAGCAGUGGGGAAUAUUGCACAAUGGAGGAAACUCUGAUGCAGCGACGCCGCGUGAGCGAUGAAGGCUUUCGAGUCGUAAAGCUCUGUCCUAUGGGAAGAUAAUGACGGUACCAUAGGAGGAAGCCCCGGCUAACUACGUG